UACGUAGGGUGCAAGCGUUGUCCGGAAUUAUUGGGCGUAAAGAGCUCGUAGGCGGUCUGUCGCGUCUGGUGUGAAAAUCCAGGGCUUAACCCUGGACCUGCAUCGGGUACGGGCAGACUAGAGUGUGGUAGGGGAGAACGGAAUUCCCGGUGUAGCGGUGAAAUGCGCAGAUAUCGGGAGGAACACCGGUGGCGAAGGCGGUUCUCUGGGCCUGUACUGACGCUGGAGGAGCGAAAGCGUGGGGAGCGAACAGG
rnacentral:rRNA from 1 species